rnacentral:rRNA from 1 species
GAGGGCCUCGCGGCCUAUCAGCUUGUUGGCGGGGUAACGGCCCACCAAGGCGUCGACGGGUAGCUGGUCUGAGAGGAUGAUCAGCCACACUGGGACUGAGACACGGCCCAGACUCCUACGGGAGGCAGCAGUGGGGAAUCUUGCACAAUGGGCGCAAGCCUGAUGCAGCAACGCCGCGUGCGGGAAGAAGGCCCUAGGGUUGUAAACCGCUUUCAGCAGGGAAGAAAAUGACGGUACCUGUAGAAGAAGGUGCGGCCAACUACGUGCCAGCAGCCGCGGUGACACGUAGGCACCAAGCGUUGUCCGGAUUUAUUGGGCGUAAAGAGCUCGUAGGCGGUUCGGUAAGUCGGGUGUGAAAACUCUGGGCUCAACCCAGAGACGCCACCCGAUACUGCUGUGACUAGAGUGCGGUAGGGGAGCGGGGAAUUCCUGGUGUAGCGGUGAAAUGCGCAGAUAUCAGGAGGAACACCAGUGGCGAAGGCGCCGCUCUGGGCCGUGACUGACGCUGAGGAGCGAAGGCGUGGGUAGCAAACAGGAUUAGAUACCCUGGUAGUCCACGCCGUAAACGUUGGGCACUAGGUGU